UCUGUAUGUUGUUGUUGUUGUUUUUUAUAGAAAAACACUAAAAAUGUGAUAAAUACAUCAUGCAUACAGGGUUUUCUGAUGUCUAUUUGCAUUUUAUUCGUAAUAUACUUAAAUUAAUAUCCAAAAAACACAAAUUAGCUGCUUUUCAAUUUUUUUGUUUAAAGAUUUUAUUUUCUUGCACGAACAUCCGGGUUUUUAAAAUGUAUGUCAUUCGGUCCACUUCCGACGAUGUUAACAACAGUCAAUAACAAGUGUUAUCGACAAAUUGGUGUUGGUGAGUUAACCUGUUUUGGAUCAAGUUCAUUCCUAGUCAACGAGUUGAAUUGACGAAGACAAAAUGUACAAGUGUUUCCAAGCCAUUAGUAAAACCGUCAAAAUUGGUAGUACAUGUAGAUGAUCAAAUAGCGGGUCCAUCCCAUCUAUGCGAUGAUACAUUGACUGAUGUAAAUAACAAUUCAACACCAAAGGAAGUUUGCACCAAUAAAAGGACUGGUCGAUGCAGAACAGCAAAGUUUGUUGGUCGACAGAUUCGACACAAAUGGAUUGUUGAUAAGGAAACCAAAAAGAGCAAAUGGUAUAUUGGAACAGUGAUAGAUGUAGUAUCAGGAAAAGACGGUGAUCCACAAGCGGUACAUGAAGUCCUGUAUAAAGGAGAAGACAGCCCAUAUGAGGUGGACGGUCUUCAACGGGAUUUAGAUGAAGGCUCGUUGAAGUUCGUUGAUAUAUAGACAAGAAAACAUUGCGAAAAAGGUUCCAGCUGCUGUCAGUGGAUAUAUGAAUACACAAAGAAAAUAAGGACUUACAACUCCCAAGAAGAAAGUGGUUUAUGAGGUGAAAAAAUGUUAUUAUUGACUAUUUUUGAAAGAUUUAUUUACAAAUGGUGCAUGUAUCACUGAAAUAUAUGUUAUUUUAUUUGUACAUAUUGUUCCAAAAUUAAUAUAGAAUGCAUAU